CCUACGGGCUGCAGCAGUAGGGAAUCUUCGGCAAUGGACGAAAGUCUGACCGAGCAACGCCGCGUGAGUGAAGAAGGUUUUCGGAUCGUAAAACUCUGUUGUUAGAGAAGAACAAGGACGUUAGUAACUGAACGUCCCCUGACGGUAUCUAACCAGAAAGCCACGGCUAACUACGUGCCAGCAGCCGCGGUAAUACGUAGGUGGCAAGCGUUGUCCGGAAUUAUUGGGCGUAAAGCGCGCGCAGGCGGUUUCUUAAGUCUGAUGUGAAAGCCCACGGCUCAACCGUGGAGGGUCAUUGGAAACUGGGAGACUCCGAGUGCAGAAGAGGAGAGCGGAAUUCCACGUGUAGCGGUGAAAUGCGUAGAUAUGUGGAGGAACACCAGUGGCGAAGGCGGCUCUCUGGUCUGUAACUGACGCUGAGGCGCGAAAGCGUGGGGAGCAAACAGGAUUAAAUACCCGAGUAGUC
rnacentral:rRNA from 1 species